rnacentral:rRNA from 1 species
UAGGGAAUCUUCGGCAAUGGACGAAAGUCUGACCGAGCAACGCCGCGUGAGUGAAGAAGGUUUUCGGAUCGUAAAACUCUGUUGGUAGAGAAGAACGUUGGUGAGAGUGGAAAGCUCAUCAAGUGACGGUAACUACCCAGAAAGGGACGGCUAACUACGUCCACGA